UCUCUAGAUUAGUGAUUAUGGACCAUAACUCAUUGCAUUUGAACAAUUUGUCAUUUGAAAUGAAAGUAAAUGCAUUCUUUAUAAACCAUCCAAGUUUUCAUCAUCACAACACAGUGGAUUCAUAAACAGUAUUUGUACAGUUUUCAUGUAGAAAAGGUUCCUGAAUUGAAAAAAUUGGGUGGCUGACAUGGUGCCUCUGUCAGACUCCUCCCCCCUUCCUCCUCUGCUCCAUUCCUGACGGUGACCAGCUGACUUCACUCAUCUCAUCAAGCCACUUCUACUUAAGGAGAUCCACUGCCUCUCUUCUACGCCAGUUCGUUGUUCCUCAACGGAUUACACAUCCACGGGUGCUCACCUGGUCACCGAAGUUUUCCCUGGUUCCACGUCCCGCCGUCCGCAACUGCCUUGCUGUUCUGGAAACGUCCUGCCGAAACCCUCCGGCCACGCCGCACCUUCAAGCCAAGGACUCUAGCUCAUUCCUCCAUAUUUCGAACUUUCAAGCUAUAUUCCUUACCAAUUAUAAAAUACCUCUCUCUUA